rnacentral:rRNA from 1 species
AUUGAACGCUGGCGGCAGGCCUAACACAUGCAAGUCGAGCGGAUGAAGGGAGCUUGCUCCUGGAUUCAGCGGCGGACGGGUGAGUAAUGCCUAGGAAUCUGCCUGGUAGUGGGGGAUAACGUCCGGAAACGGGCGCUAAUACCGCAUACGUCCUGAGGGAGAAAGUGGGGGAUCUUCGGACCUCACGCUAUCAGAUGAGCCUAGGUCGGAUUAGCUAGUUGGUGGGGUAAAGGCCUACCAAGGCGACGAUCCGUAACUGGUCUGAGAGGAUGACCAGUCACACUGGAACUGAGACACGGUCCAGACUCCUACAGGAGGCAGCAGUGGGGAAUAUUGGACAAUGGGCGAAAGCCUGAUCCAGCCAUGCCGCGUGUGUGAAGAAGGUCUUCGGAUUGUAAAGCACUUUAAGUUGGGAGGAAGGGCAGUAAGUUAAUACCUUGCUGUUUUGACGUUACCAACAGAAUAAGCACCGGCUAACUUCGUG